rnacentral:rRNA from 1 species
GAUGAACGCUGGCGGCGUGCCUAAUACAUGCAAGUCGAGCGAACAGACGAGGAGCUUGCUCCUCUGACGUUAGCGGCGGACGGGUGAGUAACACGUGGAUAACCUACCUAUAAGACUGGGAUAACUUCGGGAAACCGGAGCUAAUACCGGAUAAUAUAUUGAACCGCAUGGUUCAAUAGUGAAAGACGGUUUUGCUGUCACUUAUAGAUGGAUCCGCGCCGCAUUAGCUAGUUGGUAAGGUAACGGCUUACCAAGGCAACGAUGCGUAGCCGACCUGAGAGGGUGAUCGGCCACACUGGAACUGAGACACGGUCCAGACUCCUACGGGAGGCAGCAGUAGGGAAUCUUCCGCAAUGGGCGAAAAGCCUGACGGAGCAACGCCGCGUGAGUGAUGAAGGUCUUCGGAUCGUAAAACUCUGUUAUUAGGGAAGAAC